UCAUGGUGAUGGAAAACAUGUUGAGAGCUGAAUACAGGAGUCAGGAGAGACAGACUACUGCUAUUGGAUCCAGCUGAAACCCUUCUCACAGUGUGUGGGCCUGGAGAUGUUUUCUCCCCAUAUCCUUUUAAUCCCAUUUCGGCAUUGAUGCUAUUUCAGAAAUAUAUGAUCUCUGAAUACUUUUCUUAUUAAGAGAGCACAUCAGAAGACUUCCAGAGUCUGACAACAAUUUACUUUGCAAUUGAUAAAGCAAAAAGAAUCUGUAUGGAUUGUUUCCAUGUCAGAAUGAUCACACCAAUCUAAGGGCAUUUGAAGAUGUACUACAUUGUUAAUUGGAAUUCAUGUUCCUAGGCUUUCUUCAGGUGAGUG